AUCCAGCCGAUCAGUCCUAAAUAGGACGAAACGGGCGUCCUGAAU
rfam:Schistosoma mattheei strain Denwood, Zambia genome assembly, scaffold: SMTD_scaffold0002160